rnacentral:rRNA from 1 species
AUGAGCACCUCGCCGCCUCUGCAAAAUAUGGAUGCACGGGAUUCUGCUACUAACAUUGGGGAGUGUGUACUGUUGCGGUGCUGUGACAUAUACACUCUAUGGAAGAAACCCCUGUUUGAUUUACAGGGGAUGCUGAUUUGGAAUCUACUUUUGACAGAUCAAUCUGGUUUGUUGGCUGCUGGGUGGCUUCAUGUGACGCCGCAGUGCACUAGGGAGAGGUACCGAGGUCCCCAGAGCUACAUGGUUCAUGAUUGGCAAUUGGUCGUGGGCAAUGGAACUAAAAUGUCUACUGAAUGUUCAUGGAUAUCUUAA